CUGAACCUUUCCAACUCUGCAAUAUCCUUUUCGUUUUUAAAUUCAUUUUUAUUAAAGAUGUUCUUGUAAAUCUUUAAUAAAAAUGGAUUUUAAAACGAAAAGGAUAUUGCAGAGUUGGAAAAGGUUCAG
rnacentral:miRNA from 1 species